UACGUAGGGUGCGAGCGUUAAUCGGAAUUACUGGGCGUAAAGCGUGCGCAGGCGGUUUUGUAAGCCAGAUGUGAAAUCCCCGGGCUCAACCUGGGAAUGGCAUUUGGGACUGCAAGGCUGGAGUGCGGCAGAGGAGACUGGAAUUCCUGGUGUAGCAGUGAAAUGCGUAGAUAUCAGGAGGAACACCGGUGGCGAAGGCGGGUCUCUGGACCGAUACUGACGCUGAGGAGCGAAAGCGUGGGGAGCGAACAGG
rnacentral:rRNA from 1 species